UAUGUGAUCGUCUCUCGCAUAUCAAUAAGCGGAGGAAAAGAAACUAACAAGGAUUCCCCUAGUAACGGCGAGUGAAGCGGGAAGAGCUCAAAUUUGAAAUCUUAAAGGGUUUCCCUUUACGAAUUGUAGUUUAAAGAAGUGUUUUCUGUUGAGGUUUUGGUAAAAGUUCUUUGGAAUAGGACAUCAUAGAGGGUGAGAAUCCCGUAUUUGACCUUUACUUUCAACUUUGUGAUACACUUUCAAAGAGUCGGAUUGUUUGGGAAUGCAGUCCAAAAUGGGUGGUAAAUUUCAUCUAAAGCUAAAUAUUGGCGAGAGACCGAUAGCGAACAAGUACCGUGAGGGAAAGAUGAAAAGAACUUUGAAAAGAGAGUUAAACAGUACGUGAAAUUGUCAAAAGGGAAGCGUUUGACACCAGUGUUGUUUUUCUGAAAAUCAAUUAAAGAACUGUUUAUGCUAAGUUGUUUAGACUUUAUCAGCUAUCUGCUUAGUUUUGAGCUUUUCUUUAAUGCACUUUUCAGUUAACGAGUCAACAUCAAUUUCUUUUGCUGUAAAAAAGCUUGAGGAAGGUGGCUUGAGAUUCGUCUUAAGUGUUUAUAGCCUCUUGCCUAUGCAGUCGGAGAGAUUGAGGUCUGCAGCGUAGAUCCUUCGGGGCUAAAUGCAUUUGUGCUAAGUUAUAGCAUUUUAUAGACAACUUGUUGACUAUGAUUUGUCUUGUAGCUUACUCGCUUAUGUUAUUUUACCUACGCUUAGGAUGUUGAACGCGCACAGAGUCUC
rnacentral:rRNA from 1 species